AUUGAACGCUGGCGGCAGGCCUAACACAUGCAAGUCGAGCGGAUGAAGGGAGCUUGCUCCUGGAUUCAGCGGCGGACGGGUGAGUAAUGCCUAGGAAUCUGCCUGGUAGUGGGGGAUAACGUCCGGAAACGGGCGCUAAUACCGCAUACGUCCUGUGGGAGAAAGUGGGGGAUCUUCGGACCUCACGCUAUCAGAUGAGCCUAGGUCGGAUUAGCUAGUUGGUGGGGUAAAGGCCUACCAAGGCGACGAUCCGUAACUGGUCUGAGAGGAUGAUCAGUCACUCUGGAACUGAGACACGGUCCUGACACCGACGGGAGGCAGCAGUGGGGAAUAUUGGACGAUGGGCGAAAGCCUGCUCCAGCCAUGCCGCGUGUGUGAAGAAGGUCUUCGGAUUGUAAAGCACUUUAAGUUGGGAGGAAGGGCAGUAAGUUAAUACCUUGCUGUUUUGACGUUACCAACAGAAUAAGCACCGGCUAACUUCGUG
rnacentral:rRNA from 1 species